rnacentral:rRNA from 1 species
GAUGAACGCUGGCGGCGUGCCUAAUACAUGCAAGUCGAGCGAACAGACGAGGAGCUUGCUCCUCUGACGUUAGCGGCGGACGGGUGAGUAACACGUGGAUAACCUACUUAUAAGACUGGGAUAACUUCGGGAAACCGGAGCUAAUACCGGAUAACAUGUUGAACCGCAUGGUUCAACAGUGAAAGACGGUCUUGCUGUCACUUAUAGAUGGAUCCGCGCCGCAUUAGCUAGUUGGUAAGGUAACGGCUUACCAAGGCAACGAUGCGUAGCCGACCUGAGAGGGUGAUCGGCCACACUGGAACUGAGACACGGUCCAGACUCCUACGGGAGGCAGCAGUAGGGAAUCUUCCGCAAUGGGCGAAAGCCUGACGGAGCAACGCCGCGUGAGUGAAGAAGGUCUUCGGAUCGUAAACUCUGUUAUUAGGGAAGAACAAAUGUGUAAGUAACUAUGCACGUCUUGACGGUACCUAAUCAGAAAGCCACGGCUAACUACGUG